rnacentral:sRNA from 1 species
UGUUUGCACUUAGCGGGAAGGGUAAGAACCUUCGACUAAGGUUCGACUCGAGCGCCAGCGAGAGAACGUUGCCACAGGCAACGGCGCCGAAGGGCUAGGAGCGAUAGCGACGAGUUAUCCUUCCCCCACCACCA